rnacentral:rRNA from 1 species
CGACGGGUGAGUAAUGUAUAGUUAAUCUGCCCUUUAGAGGGGGAUAACAGUUGGAAACGACUGCUAAUACCCCAUACUCCUUUUAUCUUAAUGAUAAUUGGGAAACGUAUUUUCGCUAAAGGAUGAGACUAUAUGGUAUCAGGUAGUUGGUAGGGUAAGAGCCUACCAAGCCAAUGACGCCUAGCUGGUCUGAGAGGAUGAUCAGCCACACUGGAACUGAGACACGGUCCAG